rnacentral:rRNA from 1 species
UGCAAGUCGAGCGGCAGCACGGGUACUUGUACCUGGUGGCGAGCGGCGGACGGGUGAGUAAUGCCUAGGAAUCUGCCUGGUAGUGGGGGAUAACGCUCGGAAACGGACGCUAAUACCGCAUACGUCCUACGGGAGAAAGCAGGGGACCUUCGGGCCUUGCGCUAUCAGAUGAGCCUAGGUCGGAUUAGCUAGUUGGUGAGGUAAUGGCUCACCAAGGCGACGAUCCGUAACUGGUCUGAGAGGAUGAUCAGUCACACUGGAACUGAGACACGGUCCAGACUCCUACGGGAGGCAGCAGUGGGGAAUAUUGGACAAUGGGCGAAAGCCUGAUCCAGCCAUGCCGCGUGUGUGAAGAAGGUCUUCGGAUUGUAAAGCACUUUAAGUUGGGAGGAAGGGCAGUUACCUAAUACGUAUCUGUUUUGACGUUACCGACAGAAUAAGCACCGGCUAACUCUGUGCCAGCAGCCGCGGUAAUACAGAGGGUGCAAGCGUUAAUCGGAAUUACUGGGCGUAAAGCGCGCGUAGGUGGUUUGUUAAGUUGAAUGUGAAAUCCCCGGGCUCAACCUGGGAACUGCA